UGGCAUUGAAAAAUGAGAACUUUCUCACUUUAUCUGCCUAUAAAUCUCUGUGUCUGGCCUUGAUGAAACCAUGAAUGAGGAAGACGAAAUAAACAAUGAAGCAUAAUAAUAGUAAUGCUGUUGUGUUUUCGCUGCUUCUGGUGUCUAUACUUUUAUCAAUGACGAGUUCCGGCUCCCUUUUAGCUGAAGCAACAAUUCCCAACUUCUCAACCAUCCGAGGUUUGUUUUUGCUACUCUUUCUUUUCCACAUAUUAUAUUUCUUCACCUCCAUUUUUAUUAUUUUUAUUGAAGUGCAUAUACUCCAAUAUGUAAGAAUAAUUUAAUUCUUUAAAAAGGUGAAAUUUGGUCUAAUUUAGCAACUCUCUCUACUUAAUUUAUAUUUUUAUUUAAACUAUUGACUGAAUUGAUACCAGGAGAAGAUUUGAACCAUGACAUUUGGAUUCAUAAAACUUUAAUUUUACCACUUAAUCAAUGCUAAAACCUAAAUAUUUCGUUUGGUUAUUAGUGUAAUAACAUGAGAAAAAAAUUAUUUAUUGCAUAUGAUAUUACAAUAGUAUAAGGAAUAAUUAUUACAAUUUUAAACUUGAAAUUAAAAAGAUCAUAAAAGCUUUUGUAAAAAAUUAGACAUCUUCGAAAUAAGCGAAACUUUUUCCUUCUCUUUGCUGAAAAUAAGCUUUGAGAGUGGCUAAAUAUUAUCAAUUUACUAACUUAUAUACUAAAACAUGCCGAAAAAAAUAAUAUUGCUCCUACCAAAUAUGAUAAAAGUGUUUUGUACAUUUUAAUUUAAUAUUGUACAUAUUGUAUAUGUUAUUACUAUUAAUUAAUUAGUUUCAAAUAAUAUAUUUUAUUAUUUAUUAUAUGUUAUUUUUAAAUAUCUCUUAUGUUUUAAAUAUGUAAUUUUCAUAUGUGUACAUGUGUAAUAUAUUAUUAUAUUUAUAGUAGCUAAAAAUAUACCUCCCACCGGAAAAAUACGUCAAAAGCCCAUAAUUUAGGCUUUGAUAGUUAUAGUUUCCCCUAUUUAGCUUCUUCUCUGAUCAACCCUUCAAGUAAAACUACUACUGAUUACUGAUGGAUUGAAAAUUGCAUGGAAUUAAUGUCAACAUCAAAUAUUUCAACAUUAUUAGUUACUUUUAAAUAAUUUUUUAAAUAUAUUUUGACUUGAGUUAAUAAAUGAUAAUUAUCCUUUGAACACUCAAUGACAGAAAAUCUAGUCCGUUUAAGUUCGGCUCGUCGGAGUUUGAGGCCAGAUCUUCCAACCAACAAUCAAAGCCCAAGCCAAAACCAAAAUUGCUAUCAAAAUACUCCCGAAUCACCAUCAAGAUUAGCCCAAACCCGGGCUUAAGUGACCAUCAAGAUAAGGCUAUUAUCAAAUAAAAAGUGUUCUCGAAAAGUGUUAUAGAAAAAUGUAAUUUUGUAAUUUAAGUAUUCAUCAUUGCUGUAAAAAAAAGGUAAACUAUAAAAGUAGUCACUUUUGUUUACUCCAGAUUACAUUUUAGUCACUUAUGUUUGAAAUGUUACGUUUUAGUCACUUAUGUUAUCGUUUUAUUACGAAGUAGUCACUCUGCCAUUAAGCUCCAUUACCUCCCUAACAGUAAUCCUACAUGGCAGUCCAAAUGGGUUUUAAAUGCCAACUUGGAUGUCCAACUGGGAUAAGAAUAGUUUUUCAGUCAAAAUGGAAAAGAAAAUUAAAAGAAAAAGAGAAACAAUUUUUUGUUUCAAUUCAAAGUGUAAUUAAUUUAAAAUUUUUAACCAAUUAAAUUUAUUUAAUUAAAAAUCUAUUAUCAUCCUAGUUGGACAUCCAAAUCGGCAUUUAAAACCCAUUUGGAUUGUUACGUAGGAUUUCUGUUAGGGAGAUAACGGAGCUUAACGGCAGAGUAACCAUUUUGUAACAAAACUAUAACAUAAGUGACUAAAACAUAACAUUUCAAACAUAAGUGACUAAAAUGUAAUCUGAGGUAAACAAAAGUGACUAUUUUUAUAGUUU
rnacentral:lncRNA from 1 species